CCUACGGGAGGCAGCAGUGGGGAAUAUUGCACAAUGGGGGAAACCCUGAUGCAGCGAUGCCGCGUGGAGGAAGAAGGUUUUCGGAUUGUAAACUCCUGUCGAAGAGGACGAUAAUGACGGUACUCUUUAAGAAAGCUCCGGCUAACUACGUGCCAGCAGCCGCGGUAAUACGUAGGGAGCGAGCGUUGUCCGGAAUUACUGGGUGUAAAGGGAGCGUAGGCGGGAUGGCAAGUCAGAUGUGAAAACUAUGGGCUCAACCCAUAGACUGCAUUUGAAACUGUUGUUCUUGAGUGAGGUAGAGGUAAGCGGAAUUCCUGGUGUAGCGGUGAAAUGCGUAGAGAUCAGGAGGAACAUCGGUGGCGAAGGCGGCUUACUGGGCCUUUACUGACGCUGAGGCUCGAAAGCGUGGGGAGCAAACAGGAUUAGAUACCCGAGUAGU
rnacentral:rRNA from 1 species